rnacentral:rRNA from 1 species
UGGGGGAUAACGCAUCGAAAGAUGUGCUAAUACCGCAUAAUCUCUGAGGAGAAAAGCAGGGGAUCUUACAGCCUUGUGCUUUUGGAGCGGCCGAUGCCUGAUUAGCUAGUUGGUGGGGUAAAGGCCUACCAAGGCUUCGAUCAGUAGCUGGUCUGAGAGGACGACCAGCCCCACUGGGACUGAGACACGGCCCAGACUCCUACGGGAGCCAGCAGUGGGGAAUUUUGGACAAUGGGGGCAACCCUGAUCCAGCCAUGCCGCGUGAGUGAAGAAGGCCUUCGGGUUGUAAAGCUCUUUCAGUUGGGAAGAAAAGGUUGCAGAUAAUACCUGUAACUCAUGACGGUACCAACAGAAGAAGCACCGGCUAACUACGUGCCAGCCGCCGCGGUAAUACCUAGGGUGCGAGCGUUAAUCGGAAUUACUGGGCGUAAAGGGUGCGCAGGCGGUCUUGUAAGUCAGAUGUGAAAUCCCCGGGCUUAACCUGGGAACUGCGUUUGAAACUACAAGACUAGAGUGUACCAGAGGGGGGUGGAAUUCCACGUGUAGCAGUGAAAUGCGUAGCGAUGUGGAAGAACACCGAUGGUGAAGGCAGCCCCCUGGGUUAACACUGACGCUCAGGCACGAAAGCGUGGGGAGCAAACAGGAUUACAUACCCUGGUAGUCCACGCCCUAAACGAUGUCAACUAGUUGUCGGGUCUUUAUAGAUUUGGUAACGUAGCUAACGCGUGAAGUUGACCGCCUGGGGAGUACGGUCGCAAGAUUAAAACUCAAAGGAAUUGACGGGGACCCGCACAAGCGGUGGAUUAUGUGGAUUAAUUCGAUGCAGCGCGAAGAACCUUACCUACCCUUGACAUGUAGUGAACACUCUAUAGAUAGAGUACUGGCUUCUGGGAACCUACCACCGGUGCUGCAUGGAUGUCGUCAGCUCGUGUCGUGAGAUGUUGGGUUAAGUCCCGGCACGAGCGCAUCCAUCGUCUUAAAUUGCCAUCAUUUAGGUGGGCACUUUAAUGAGACUGCCGGUGACAAACCGGAAGAAGGUGGGGAUGACGUCAAGUCCUCAUGGCCCUUAUGGGUAGGGCUUCACACGUAAUACA